GACUUCACUGGAAAAGCUGUUUGGAGCAAUAUUACGAUUUUUUUUUUUUUACUAUCCCCACACACUUCCUGCCGCGACUCUGUUUUUCUGUGACGGGUCAGACCAGAUGAAUAGACUACUAAUAGCUACUUUUUCUAUAUUCAAGUCGGUGCUGCUGUGAAGGCCUGCAGCUGGCAGCAGACAACGCCGCCUAAGCGAACACAAGAGCAGAUGAAGAGAAAUUAUUGUCGACUGUUCUUUGCCACAACGCUGCGCCUCACCAAUUGAAGAUAAUAAUUGUACAUCUCAUAAGCUGUCAGCGCCAUGUGCUCACAUGUAAUUUCUUUGUCUCCCUUACUCCUCCCCUCCUCUCCCUCCCUCCCUCUCUCUCUCUCUCUCUCUCUCUCUCUCUCUCUGUCUCUCUCCGUCCCUUCAUCCUCCCGUCCUCGGCUUGUCAGUCCCCGCCGCGGGUUGGAGGGUGGCACGUUAGGACUGAUUCGCUCUGACAAUGAGCCACUCGCACUAAUUUACUCAUUUAUUCUAAUAUGAUUGACAUUUCAUUUCAGCACACUCCCCUCCCCUGCCACUGAUAGGGUUGGUCGAGGCAGCCAGUAAUCACUGACAGGCCCAUUAAAGGGAGAUUGCAUGCAAUUAUCUCGCUAAUUCAGAGGGUUCUUUUAAUUUGGCAGCAUAAAAUUGUCAAUCUUGGAAGUGUAAUCGGCCUCAUUCCCAUUUGAGGCCCGGACUAAAAAUAAAUAAGAGCGGAGUCUGUUUCCCUUCUCAGUGCUCUAAUGACAAAAGAGAUGCAGAGGCAGCAAAUGAAAAGGAUGGAGGCCCUCAUCUGUUGUCCGUCCAUGCUGACAGGCAUCAGGAUGAUACACGGAGUGCAGGAAAUUAAUAUUGUUCUUACUGUCACAUCACUUUCAUUGCUGUGAAGCCAUCAAGAUAGAAGGUUGCAUUCAUUUCAGCUUGCUUUUUGCGCUCACAUCCA